GGGUGUGACUGCGUACCUUUUGUAUAAUGGGUCAGCGACUUAUAUUCUGUAGCAAGGUUAACCGAAUAGGGGAGCCGGAGGGAAACCGAGUCUUAACCGGGCGUUAAGUUGCAGGGUAUAGACCCGAAACCCGGUGAUCUAGCCAUGGGCAGGUUGAAGGUUGGGUAACACUAACUGGAGGACCGAACCGACUAAUGUUGAAAAAUUAGCGGAUGACCUGUGGCUGGGGGUGAAAGGCCAAUCAAACCGGGAGAUAGCUGGUUCUCCCCGAAAGCUAUUUAGGUAGCGCCUCGUGAAUUCAUCUCCGGGGGUAGAGCACUGUUUCGGCUAGGGGGCCAUCCCGGCUUACCAACCCGAUGCAAACUGCGAAUACCGGAGAAUGUUAUCACGGGAGACACACGGCGGGUGCUAACGUCCGUCGUGAAGAGGGAAACAACCCAGACCGCCAGCUAAGGUCCCAAAGUCAUGGUUAAGUGGGAAACGAUGUGGGAAGGCCCAGACAGCCAGGAUGUUGGCUUAGAAGCAGCCAUCAUUUAAAGAAAGCGUAAUAGCUCACUGGUCGAGUCGGCCUGCGCGGAAGAUGUAACGGGGCUAAACCAUGCACCGAAGCUGCGGCAGCGACACUCAGGUGUUGUUGGGUAGGGGAGCGUUCUGUAAGCCUGCGAAGGUGGCCUGUGAGGGUUGCUGGAGGUAUCAGAAGUGCGAAUGCUGACAUAAGUAACGAUAAAGCGGGUGAAAAGCCCGCUCGCCGGAAGACCAAGGGUUCCUGUCCAACGUUAAUCGGGGCAGGGUGAGUCGACCCCUAAGGCGAGGCCGAAAGGCGUAGUCGAUGGGAAACGGGUUAAUAUUCCCGUACUUGGUGUUACUGCGAAGGGGGGACGGAGAAGGCUAUGUUGGCCGGGCGACGGUUGUCCCGGUUUAAGCGUGUAGGCUGGUGUUCCAGGCAAAUCCGGAAAAUCAAGGCUGAGGCGUGACGACGAGGCACUACGGUGCUGAAGCAACAAAUGCCCUGCUUCCAGGAAAAGCCUCUAAGCAUCAGGUAACAUCAAAUCGUACCCCAAACCGACACAGGUGGUCAGGUAGAGAAUACCAAGGCGCUUGAGAGAACUCGGGUGAAGGAACUAGGCAAAAUGGUGCCGUAACUUCGGGAGAAGGCACGCUGACAUGUAGGUGAAGUGAUUUACUCAUGGAGCUGAAGUCAGUCGAAGAUACCAGCUGGCUGCAACUGUUUAUUAAAAACACAGCACUGUGCAAACACGAAAGUGGACGUAUACGGUGUGACGCCUGCCCGGUGCCGGAAGGUUAAUUGAUGGGGUCAGCGCAAGCGAAGCUCCUGAUCGAAGCCCCGGUAAACGGCGGCCGUAACUAUAACGGUCCUAAGGUAGCGAAAUUCCUUGUCGGGUAAGUUCCGACCUGCACGAAUGGCGUAAUGAUGGCCAGGCUGUCUCCACCCGAGACUCAGUGAAAUUGAACUCGCUGUGAAGAUGCAGUGUACCCGCGGCAAGACGGAAAGACCCCGUGAACCUUUACUAUAGCUUGACACUGAACAUUGAGCCUUGAUGUGUAGGAUAGGUGGGAGGCUUUGAAGUGUGGACGCCAGUCUGCAUGGAGCCGACCUUGAAAUACCACCCUUUAAUGUUUGAUGUUCUAACGUGGACCCGUGAUCCGGGUUGCGGACAGUGUCUGGUGGGUAGUUUGACUGGGGCGGUCUCCUCCUAAAGAGUAACGGAGGAGCACGAAGGUUGGCUAAUCCUGGUCGGACAUCAGGAGGUUAGUGCAAUGGCAUAAGCCAGCUUGACUGCGAGCGUGACGGCGCGAGCAGGUGCGAAAGCAGGUCAUAGUGAUCCGGUGGUUCUGAAUGGAAGGGCCAUCGCUCAACGGAUAAAAGGUACUCCGGGGAUAACAGGCUGAUACCGCCCAAGAGUUCAUAUCGACGGCGGUGUUUGGCACCUCGAUGUCGGCUCAUCACAUCCUGGGGCUGAAGUAGGUCCCAAGGGUAUGGCUGUUCGCCAUUUAAAGUGGUACGCGAGCUGGGUUUAGAACGUCGUGAGACAGUUCGGUCCCUAUCUGCCGUGGGCGCUGGAGAACUGAGGGGGGCUGCUCCUAGUACGAGAGGACCGGAGUGGACGCAUCACUGGUGUUCGGGUUGUCAUGCCAAUGGCACUGCCCGGUAGCUAAAUGCGGAAGAGAUAAGUGCUGAAAGCAUCUAAGCACGAAACUUGCCCCGAGAUGAGUUCUCCCUGAGACUUUAGGUCUCCUGAAGGAACGUUGAAGACGACGACGUUGAUAGGCCGGGUGUGUAAGCGCAGCGAUGCGUUGAGCUAACCGGUACUAAUGAACCGUGAGGCUUAACCUUAC
rnacentral:rRNA from 2 species